UUGUGGUUAGGAGGAAGGAUGUCAAUCAAAGUUACGGUGGUGGAAUUUCACAACUUAAAUGUACACUAGCCCUAAAGUUGGUUCGUAGCUUUAAAGUGUCACAUCGAGAGUUGCAGACGUCCAAAUCCAGCUGAGUAGUUCCGGGUCCGUUGCCAUACACGGUUCCUACGAAAUCAUUCGAUAUUUUUCAUCCACGAAGGGACAUCGUCAUUCGUCGAUCUCCUCAAGCUCACAACAGUGGAAUUCGCGAGAAACCCUCGACAUGGAAGCGGGACAUAUGAAUUUGUGUGUGCAUACACGACUUCGUUACGUGCUCUGAUUGUCAGACAGCGCCUUGCAUGAGUGUAUGGUCCCAUUGGUUUUCAAAUUCUUUGCUUAGAGAGCAUAUCUUAAGCUUUACAGGAUCGGGCCAUCGUGUGCGGGUAUAUUAUUCGCAGUAAGAAGAAGAAUCUGAGUUUCUCAUGUGUGGAAUUCGUCAGGAAGCAAACCUUUGAGAGUAGUCAUGAAUUGCUACCAUCAGGCAAUCUUUACUGUAAGCCCGAGAAGGAAGCGCUCAGAAAUGGGAACCUUCUUUUUUCUUCGUGAGCGACCCUGCAUGUUUUUAAAACCUUACCGUCGUUAGAACUCGCGGAAUGAAUCGAUCUUGGUGUUACGGCACUGUUUGAAGUGCUGCAAUGAAGUGUACUUCUCCCAGCUCUCUUCUCUAGAACCGCGUCUUUAUGUCGAUUUGGCGUUUGACUCGAUAUGGAUCUUCCUAGGUGUGUCAUGAACAAUUCUGAAUUAAAUCUUGAAACAUUAUGUGAUGGUCAUGACCAGUAACUAUA